rnacentral:tRNA from 15 species
GCCCAAGUAGCUCAGUUGGUAGAGCAUACGACUGAAAAUCGUAGUGUCGGUGGUUCGAUCCCGCCCUUGGGCACCA